AUUGAACGCUGGCGGCAGGCCUAACACAUGCAAGUCGAACGGUAACAGGAAGAAGCUUGCUUCUUUGCUGACGAGUGGCGGACGGGUGAGUAAUGUCUGGGAAACUGCCUGAUGGAGGGGGAUAACUACUGGAAACGGUAGCUAAUACCGCAUAACGUCGCAAGACCAAAGAGGGGGACCUUCGGGCCUCUUGCCAUCGGAUGUGCCCAGAUGGGAUUAGCUUGUUGGUGGGAUAACGGCUCACCAAGGCGACGAUCCCUAGCUGGUCUGAGAGGAUGACCAGCCACACUGGAACUGAGACACGGUCCAGACUCCUACGGGAGGCAGCAGUGGGGAAUAUUGCACAAUGGGCGCAAGCCUGAUGCAGCCAUGCCGCGUGUAUGAAGAAGGCCUUCGGGUUGUAAAGUACUUUCAGCGGGGAGGAAGGGAGUAAAGUUAAUACCUUGGCUCAUUGACGUUACCCGCAGAAGAAGCACCGGCUAACUCCGUG
rnacentral:rRNA from 1 species